rnacentral:ncRNA from 1 species
UUAGCGCUAGUCCUGCAGCCGUGCAGCUGCAGGGGACGAGGAGAAGGUUGUCGAGUAGUCAGCGGAUGCCUUCCGGCCGCUCCGGCCGAUAGAAGCCUCUAAAGCCCGCAUGCGAGUGCGGGGACAGAUGAGG